rnacentral:rRNA from 1 species
AGAGUUUGAUCCUGGCUCAGGACGAACGCUGGCGGCGUGCUUAACACAUGCAAGUCGAGCGAUGAAGCUCCUUCGGGAGUGGAUUAGCGGCGGACGGGUGAGUAACACGUGGGUAACCUGCCUCAUAGAGGGGAAUAGCCUUUCGAAAGGAAGAUUAAUACCGCAUAAGAUUGUAGUACCGCAUGGUACAGCAAUUAAAGGAGUAAUCCGCUAUGAGAUGGACCCGCGUCGCAUUAGCUAGUUGGUGAGGUAACGGCUCACCAAGGCGACGAUGCGUAGUCGACCUGAGAGGGUGAUCGGCCACAUUGGGACUGAGACACGGCCCAGACUCCUACGGGAGGCAGCAGUGGGGAAUAUUGCACAAUGGGGGAAACCCUGAUGCAGCAACGCCGCGUGAGUGAUGACGGCCUUCGGGUUGUAAAACUCUGUCUUUGGGGACGAUAAUGACGGUACCCAAGGAGGAAGCCACGGCUAACUACGUGCCAGCAGCCGCGGUAAUACGUAGGUGGCAAGCGUUGUCCGGAUUUACUGGGCGUAAAGGGAGC